UACGUAGGGACCGAGCGUUGUCCGGAAUCAUUGGGCGUAAAGAGCGUGUAGGCGGCUCGCUAAGUCUUGCGUGAAAUCUCGGGGCUCAACCCCGAGCGGUCGUGAGAAACUGGCGGGCUAGAGUGCGGGAGAGGAGAGUGGAAUUCCUGGUGUAGCGGUGAAAUGCGCAGAUAUCAGGAAGAACACCCGUGGCGAAGGCGGCCUGCUGGGCUGUUGCUGACGCUGAGGCGCGACAGCGUGGGGAGCAAACAGG
rnacentral:rRNA from 1 species